UUGAUUUGUUCUCAUAUUUCGCACAAAAUUUUUCCAGGGGUUUAGUUUAGUUCAUGUUCUGUGGUUUCUUUUUUUUUAUUCCGGCGUGCGGACUAAAAAAGCAGUGAAUUUUAUAUGAUGUGCCUCAUUCAGUUUAGAGGAAUGAGAAAUAUUUUUGAGGAGAAAUGACAAUAGAAGCUCUUUAUGCAUUAGAUUUAGCAGCAGACAAUAAAAUGUUCACCAAGCUGACGGAUUAUCAUUAAAUACCUUCAAAGAUAUAUAAAAAAUAAGUAAAACUGUAUAGGAUCUCUGGAAAAUGUGAAAAAACGAGAUAUCAGAGAACAAAAUAAAUUACCAAGGUGAAGCUCAAUACAUAGCAGAAGUCAUCUUAUUUCUGGAUAACUUUUUGACAACCUCAAUGUCAAAACUUACUCUAAAGCUCAGGCCAAACCUGAGAGAAGAGCAGCUUCAAUGCAUGAACAAUUUUGGAUACAAAUUUGGAGUCUAUGAAAUUUUUAAAACAUCCCUACCGUAUAAAAAUUCUAUUUCGCAAGCUACUCUUUCUACUGAUUUUUAUUUUUACUUUUCUUCUUAUGUUGCUAAUUUAUUGAUAGUGGGUUAAAUUAAUAAUAUUUACUAAGGAACAUUACUGAUGAAUUGAGUUGUUAUUCCUCUUGUAACCACCUGGAUAAUAAAUCUACUUUACCAA